GACGAACGCUGACGGCGUGCUUAACACAUGCAAGUCGAACGGAAAGGCCCUGCUUUUGUGGGGUGCUCGAGUGGCGAACGGGUGAGUAACACGUGAGUAACCUGCCCUUGACUUUGGGAUAACUUCAGGAAACUGGGGCUAAUACCGGAUAGGAGCUCCUGCUGCAUGGUGGGGGUUGGAAAGUUUCGGCGGUUGGGGAUGGACUCGCGGCUUAUCAGCUUGUUGGUGGGGUAGUGGCUUACCAAGGCUUUGACGGGUAGCCGGCCUGAGGGGGUGACCGGCCACAUUGGGACUGAGAUACGGCCCAGACUCCUACGGGAGGCAGCAGUGGGGAAUAUUGCACAAUGGGCGGAAGCCUGAUGCAGCAACGCCGCGUGCGGGAUGACGGCCUUCGGGUUGUAAACCGCUUUCGCCUGUGACGAAGCGUGAGUGACGGUAAUGGGUAAAGAAGCACCGGCUAACUACGUG
rnacentral:rRNA from 1 species